UACGUAGGGACCAAGCGUUGUUCGGAUUUACUGGCGUAAAGGGCGCGUAGGCGGCGUGUUAAGUCACUUGUGAAAUCUCUAAGCUUAACUUAGAACGGUCAAGUGAUACUGAUGUGCUAGAGUGCAGAAGGGCAACCGGAAUUCUUGGUGUAGCGGUGAAUGCGCAGAUAUCAGGAAGAACACCGUGGCGAAGGCGGCUCUCUGGACGGUACUGACGCUGAGACGCGAAGCGUGGGAGCGAACAGG
rnacentral:rRNA from 1 species